rnacentral:rRNA from 1 species
GGUUCGAUUAUGGCUCAGAUUGAACGCUGGCGGGAUGCUUUACAUGCAAGUCCAGACGGCGGCACGGACUUCGGUCUGGUGGCGAGUGGCGAACGGGUGAGUGUUAUCGGAACGUGCCUAGUAGCGGGGGAUAACUACGCGAAAGCUGGCUAAUACCGCAUACGCCCUUCGGGGAAAAGCGGGGGACCUUCGGGCCUCGCACUAUUAGAGCGGCCGAUGAUAUCCGGACAGCGAUUUGGUGGGGUAACGGCGGCUCCAUUCAGGCGACGAUCCGUAGCUGGUUUGAGAGGACGACCAGCCACGCAGGACUGAGACACGGCCCGAACUCUACGGGAGGCAGCAGUGGGGAAUUUUGGACAAUGGGGAAACCCUGAUCCAGCCAUCCCGCGUGUGCGAUGAAGGCCUUCGGGUUGUAAAAGCACUUUUGGCAGGAAAAGAAACGGCACGGGAUAAUACCCCGUGCAACUGACAGUACCUGCAGAAUAAGCACCGGCUAACUACGUGCUUGGCCGCGGUAAUACGUAGGGGCGCAAGCAGUAAUCGAAUUACUGGGCGCAUAAAGCGUACUGACGGUUCCCGGAAAAGAUGUGAAAUCACGGAGCUUAACAGGUUUCAUUUAACUACCGAGCUAGAGUGUGUGUCAGAGGGAGGUGGAAUUCGCGUGUAGCAGUGAAAUGCAUCAGAUAUGCGGAGGAACACCGAUGGCGAGGCGGCCUCACUGGGAUGACACUGACGCUCAUGCAGCAUUAGAGGGAGCAAACAGGAUUAGAUACCUGGUAGUCCACGCCUAAACGAUAUCAACUGGCUGUUGGGGCCCUUCGGGCCUUGGUAGCGCAGCUAACGCGUGAAGUUGACCGCCUGGGAAAUUACAGUCGCAAGAUUAAAACUCAAAGGAAUUGACGGGGACCCGCUGAAGCGGUGGAUGAUGUGGAUUAAUUCGAUGCAGCACGCUGAAAACACCUACCCUUGACAUGUCUGGAAUCCCGAAGAGAUUUGGGAGUGCUCGCAAGAGAACCGGAACACAGGUGCUGCGCUGGCUGUCGUCGGCUCGUGUCGUGAGAUGUUGGGUUAAGUCCCGCAACGAGCGCAACCCUUGUCAUUAGUUGCUACGAAGGGCACUCUAAUGAGACUGCCGAUGGAAACCGGAGAAGGUGGGGAUGACGUCAAGUCCUCAUGGCCCUUAUGGGUAGGGCUUCACACGUCAUACAAUGGUCGGGACAGAGGGUCGCCAACCCGCGAGGAGCAAUCCAGAAGCCCGAUCGUAGUCCGGAUCGCAGUCUGCAACUCGACUGCGUGAAGUCGGAAUCGCUAGUAAUCGCGGAUCAGCAUGUCGCGGUGAAUACGUUCCCGGGUCUUGUACACCGCCCGUCACACCAUGGGAGUGGGUUUUACCAGAAGUAGUUAGCUAACCGUAAGGAGGGCGAUUACCACGGUAGGAUUCACUGACUGGGGUGAAGUCGUAACAAGGUAG